GUAAAAAACGAGCCGACACCAACGGCUGACGCGGGAAACUGCAUUACGUCUCGUCUCACCACAGCGUUUUGUUCACACACACAAAAGACCCUCCCCCUCGUUUUUUCUCAGUGGUCACAAAGCCGGGGAAAACAAACAAAAAAAAAAAAAAAAACAGAGCAGAACAAAACAAAACCAGCACGAACAAUCGAACAGAAAUCAGGGAAAGGAGGGGCGUUUCUUGUAUUUUGGGGGCUCAGCCUGCAACCAAAACUCUCCUCCCAAAAUGCCUCUAAAAAUCUUCCCGUUGCGGUGAAGAAAGGACAGAGGAGGCAGUCAGAACCAACUCUUCAGCAGAGAACCACGCACGGAUGAGAGAGGCUCUGAAUUUCCAAAGUGGCCAUAAAGCAGAUGCUUGAGGAAGAGCCUAAGGACAGGACAAGGACAGAUCCCCAGCACAUUCUCACAGUCUGCAGGAGCUCCAGCACUUCUUUGGCCAGAGGUAAAAAUGCUCUCCCAUGGACUGACCUCUAGGCUAGAGAAAACUUGUUUGGAAUUUGUCUUUGUUUCCUGACAACUCAUACCCACAAAAAGCCUAACGGAUGAAUCCUGCCCUCUUUUUGGGAGGUAGCUGGGAAGGAAAUAUCCUACUCAUUUUGAGUAGAUUUUUAAAAAGGUAAUCUCUACAAGUACAGAUCUUACAGUGCUAAAGGGAUAAGAGCUCUCCAUUAGGGAUGUGAAAGAGGACAGCGAUCCAAGUAGCCUUGCUCUUUGCAAAACUGAUCUGACACUUUCAGUUAAGACAAGCCUCUGAAGACCAGUUUUUCACAGUUAAUCCUCAGCUGCAAAGCUUGAGACACCAGAGCCUGACUGGAGUAGCGCUGAGACCUGAAGCUGCCAACCUAAUGGAGAUGAGCCUUGCCCUGAGCACAGGAGAGCUGUAUUGCUGAGGGCCCUGAAGUGUCACCUCCUCGGCCUCUGAAACCAAGCACUCCAAUUAAUGCUUCUGCCUGUCAGUCCCCUAACAACAAAACCUGGCUACCCAGCU
ensembl:lncRNA